AAAAAAACUAGUUUGUAACCUACUUUGUUGAUUUGUUCGUAUCAACCUAAAAUAAACCUCAAAAAAAAUAAACUACGAUGAUAAACUAGUCAUCUGUUAAUUUGUCCACUGACAUACCAUUGCUCUUCGUAUGUACAAACCGCGAUUAAUUUGCUCACCUCCUUUCAUUUGGUUCUUUUCUAAGUUUCAGAGAACUUGAUUUACUUUGAAGAGGUCGACAUCACUGAUAUCGACAAUAAUAGACAAAUGGAGAGGGUGUAUCCGUUUGUUACACUAUAAAGAUGUGAACAGGGGUCUGCACUUUGAGCGUUAUGGUGGUCUAGGAAUCCUAAUGCUUUUCAACUCACAUGGAGGCCAACCGGUCAUAAAUAGUCAACGCAGUUGGCCUCCUCCUUCAAUCAGGUGACAAAUCUGAGCCCUAAUUUUCAAGUUCAAUUAUGUGUAUUAAAACUGGUAAUGGAGGUUCUGUUGCAUUUGAGGAGGCGAAGGGGUGACAUUUUUACAUACAUAAAAGCUCUGGUGGGAUGCCAAUAACCUAUUUGUUGAAAUGAUUCAAAGAAGUUUCUUAUUCAGAAACACGUUAAUUGGUGGGUAUGCUCUUAUUAGUUGCAAUUUAUCUCCGAUCUUCGUCUUCUUCUUUUUUAGUUCUUUAAUGAAUGUUUGUUUUCUUUCAAUCAUAAAGUGGGCAGGUGUAUUUCAGAGUAAAUACGAUUCACUUUUGUUGUAGAGAUAUGCUUCUUUUUCUGCCUUUUCACUUCAAUUCUUUAACAAUUAAGAUACAAUUUACGUACAAUUUAAGAAUUUCGUUUUGCAUAUUAACAUUUGCCUAUUUAUGUUAUUUUGUUCAUUAGUUAUACACAAUAGUUAAAGUAAACUAAAAAAGAAGGAAGGAUUGUUGUUGUGUCAUGUGAACUUCAUAAGAUGGGUACCUGUGGGAAUUAAAUUCGACAAGGUCAACAAUGAAAAGAGGUAUUGUCCUCCACAACCGUUUACAUGAACAUCACAGGUUAAAAGGUUGGUAGACUGGAUUGACAUGACAUUGAUCAUCUUGAUGAUACUUCCUUCUGGUCUUUUCCCCAACAAAGCACAAAUGCAGUUUAUAGCAACAUACAUUUAUUUGUGCAUUGAAAAUCUAUUUUAUAGCAUUGUAUUUUCUAUUAUAUCAUCAUUCAAACGUUGGUUUACUUCUUCAGCAAUGGAUACUAGAUAGGAAUCAAUUUUUGUUAUUAGCUUUAAUAUGUUCUAUAUUUUUUAUGAUUAGUGCAUGAGUAAUGUAUGUUAGUUCUUUAUUUGAGAUGCGGUUUUAGUAAUAUGCUAAAAUUAUUUUGGUCU